AUUGAACGCUGGCGGCAGGCCUAACACAUGCAAGUCGAGCGAGCGGCGGACGGGUGAGUACUGGAAGGGGACUGGCCGAUAGGGGGGGAUAACUACUGGAAACGGUGGUUAAUACCGCAUACUGUUGGAUAACCCAUAUGGGAUUAGCUAGUAGGUAAGGUAAUGGCUUACCUAGGCGACGAUACCUAGCUGGUCUGAGAGGAUGAUCAGCAACACUGGAACUGAGACACGGCCCAGACUCCUACGGAGGCAGCAGUGGGGAAUAUUGCACAAUGGGCGCAAGCCUGAUGCAGCCAUGCCGCGUGUGUGAAGAAGGCCCUCGGAUUGUAAAGUACUUUCAGUCGGGAGGCGUUACCGACAGAAGAAGCACCGGCUAACUCCGUGCCAGCAGCCGCGGUAAUAC
rnacentral:rRNA from 1 species